UAGGGAAUCUUCGGCAAUGGACGGAAGUCUGACCGAGCAACGCCGCGUGAGUGAAGAAGGUUUUCGGAUCGUAAAGCUCUGUUGUAAGAGAAGAACGAGUGUGAGAGUGGAAAGUUCACACUGUGACGGUAUCUUACCAGAAAGGGAUGGCUAACUACGUGCCAGCAGCCGCGGUAAUACGUAGGUCCCGAGCGUUAUCCGGAUUUAUUGGGCGUAAAGCGAGCGCAGGCGGUUAGAUAAGUCUGAAGUUAAAGGCUGUGGCUUAACCAUAGUACGCUUUGGAAACUGUUUAACUUGAGUGCAAGAGGGGAGAGUGGAAUUCCAUGUGUAGCGGUGAAAUGCGUAGAUAUAUGGAGGAACACCGGUGGCGAAAGCGGCUCUCUGGCUUGUAACUGACGCUGAGGCUCGAAAGCGUGGGGAGCAAACAGGAUUAGAUACCCUGGUAGUCCACGCCGUAACGGUGAGUGCUAGGUGUUAGACCCUUUCCGGGGUUUAGUGCCGCAGCUAACGCAUUAAGCACUCCGCCUGGGGAGUACGACCGCAAGGUUG
rnacentral:rRNA from 1 species